rnacentral:rRNA from 1 species
GCGUGCGCAGACGGUUAUAUAAGUCGGGUGUGAAAGCCCCGGGCUCAACCUGGGAAUUGCAUUCGAGACUGUGUAGCUAGGGUACGGAAGAGGGAAGCGGAAUUUCAGGUGUAGCGGUGAAAUGCGUAGAUAUCUGAAGGAACACCAGUGGCGAAAGCGGCUUCCUAGUCCAGUACCGACGUUCAGGCACGAAAGCGUGGGGUGCAAACAGGAUUAGAUACCCUGGUAGUCCACGCCAUAAACGAUGAGAACUAGACGUUGGGGGGGUAAGCCCCUCAGUGUCGCAGCUAACGCGCUAAGUUCUCCGCCUGGGGAGUACGGCCGCAAGGUUGAAACUCAAAGGAAUUGA